UACAGAGGGUGCAAGCGUUAAUCGGAAUUACUGGGCGUAAAGGGCGCGUAGGCGGUUAUUUAAGUUGUAUGUGAAAUGUCUGGGCUUAACCUGGGACUGGCAUAUAAGACUGAAUGACUAGAGUAGGGUAGAGGGAAGUGGAAUUUCCAGUGUAGCGGUGAAAUGCGUAGAUAUUGGAAAGAACAUCAGUGGCGAAGGCGACUUCCUGGAUUUAUACUGACGCUGAGGCGCGAAAGCAUGGGUAGCAAACAGG
rnacentral:rRNA from 1 species